rnacentral:rRNA from 1 species
GGCCAUGUUGGUUAACAGAUCCUCAUCUGCUGGACGUCUGGCGAUGAUCUUUAUCGGUUGUCGUCAGUUGCCAGCACGUUUACUUUGAGAAAAUUAGAGUGCUAAAAGCAGGCUCACGCCUAUAUAUAUUGCAUGGAAUAAUGAAAUAAGAUCUCGAUUUUAUUUCGUUGGUUUUAGAAAUUGAGAUAAUGAUUAAUAGGAUCAGAGGGGGGCGUACGUACUGUGGUGUGAGAGGUGAAAUUCUUGGAUCGCCACAGGACGAACAGCAGCGAAGGCGUUCGCCAAGAAUGUUUUCAUUAAUCAAGAACGAAAGUUUGAGGUUCGAAGACGAUUAGAUACCGUCCUAGUUCAAACCAUAAACGUUGCCAACUGUCUUUUAGAUGCGGUUAUUUAUAUGACUCAUCUGGCGGAUCUCGAGAAAUCUAAGUUUUUAGGUUCCGGGGGAAGUAUGGUUGCAAAGCUGAAACUUAAAAGAAUUGACGGAAGGACACACAAGAAGUGGAGCCUGUGGCCUAAUUUGACUCAACACGGGAAACCUUACUCGGCCAGGACACUUUUAGGAUUGACAGAUUGAGAGCUCUUUCUUGAUUAGGUGGGUGGUGGUGCAUGGUCGUUCGUAGUUCGUGGAGCGAUUUGUCUGAUUAAUUUCGAUAACGAACGAGACUCCGGCUUACUAAAUAGUCUAAAGUUCGAAGGGACUUUUCAAGACUUCUUAGCAGGAUAAGUGG